AGUGAACGCUGGCGGUAGGCCUAACACAUGCAAGUCGAACGGCAGCACAGUAAGAGCUUGCUCUUACGGGUGGCGAGUGGCGGACGGGUGAGGAAUACAUCGGAAUCUACUUUUUCGUGGGGGAUAACGUAGGGAAACUUACGCUAAUACCGCAUACGACCUACGGGUGAAAGCAGGGGAUCUUCGGACCUUGCGCGAUUGAAUGAGCCGAUGUCGGAUUAGCUAGUUGGCGGGGUAAAGGCCCACCAAGACGAUCCGUAGCUGGUCUGAGAGGAUGAUCAGCCACACUGGAACUGAGACACGGUCCAGACUCCUACGGGAGGCAGCAGUGGGGAAUAUUGGACAAUGGGCGCAAGCCUGAUCCAGCCAUACCGCGUGGGUGAAGAAGGCCUUCGGGUUGUAAAGCCCUUUUGUUGGGAAAGAAAAGCAGCAGGUUAAUACCCCGCUGUUCUGACGGUACCCAAAGAAUAAGCACCGGCUAACUUCGUG
rnacentral:rRNA from 1 species